rnacentral:rRNA from 1 species
AUUGAACGCUGGCGGCAGGCCUAACACAUGCAAGUCGAACGAGUUGCGGACGGGUGAGUAAUGUAUGGGAAACUGCCUGAGGGCGGGGGAUAACUACUGGCAACGGUAGCUAAUACCGCAUACCAUCAGCUGUUCUCAGUUUGGAUUAUCUAGUUGGUGGGGUAACGGCUCACCAAUGCGACGAUCCCUAGCUGGUCUGAGAGGUUGACCAGCCACACUGGAACUGAGACACUGUCCAGACUCCUACGGUAGGCAGCAGUGGGGAAUAUUGCACAAUGGGCGCAAGCCUGAUGCAGCCAUGCCGCGUGUAUGAAGAAGGUUUUCGGGUUGUAAAGUACUUUCAGCGGGGAGGCGUUACCCGCAGAAGAAGCAGCGGAUAACUCCGUGCCAGCAGCCGCGGUAAUAC